UACGGGGGGAGCAAGCGUUGUUCGGAUUUACUGGGCGUAAAGGGCGCGUAGGCGGCCACCGCAAGUCGGUUGUGAAAUCUCUGGGCUUAACCCAGAAAGGUCAACCGAUACUGCGGGGCUAGAGUGCAGAAGGGGCAACUGGAAUUCUCGGUGUAGCGGUGAAAUGCGUAGAUAUCGAGAGGAACACCUGCGGCGAAGGCGGGUUGCUGGGCUGACACUGACGCUGAUGCGCGAAAGCUAGGGGGGCGAACGGG
rnacentral:rRNA from 1 species